rnacentral:rRNA from 1 species
AACGCUGGCGGCGUGCUAACACAUGCAAGUCGAACGCCGUCCAUUCGGUGGCAACACUGAAGAAGACGGAGUGGCGAACGGGUGAGUAGCACGUGAGCAACCUGCCCCGAAGACCGGGACAACACCGGGAAACCGGUGCUAAUACCCGGAUACCCCCCACCGGAUCGCAUGGUCUGGUGAGGAAAUGGAUUCCGCUUCGGGGAGGGGGCUCGCGGCCUAUCAGCUUGUUGGCGGGGUAAUGGCCUACCAAGGCUUCGACGGGUAGCUGGUCUGAGAGGACGAUCAGCCACACUGGGACUGAGACACGGCCCAGACUCCUACGGGAGGCAGCAGUGGGGAAUCUUGCGCAAUGGGCGAAAGCCUGACGCAGCAACGCCGCGUGAGGGACGAAGGCUUUCUGAGUUGUAAACCUCUUUCAGCAGGGACGAUUGUGACGGUACCUGCAGAAGAAGCACCGGCCAACUACGUGCCAGCAGCCGCGGUGAUACGUAGGGUGCAAGCGUUGUCCGGAUUUAUUGGGCGUAAAGAGCUCGUAGGCGGUUUGAUUAGUCGGGUGUGAAACCCCCAGGCUUAACCUGGGGCCGCCAUCCGAUACUGUCAUGACUAGAGUCCGGUAGGGGACCACGGAAUUCCUGGUGUAGCGGUGAAAUGCGCAGAUAUCAGGAGGAACACCAGCAGCGAAGGCGGUGGUCUGGGCCGGAACUGACGCUGAGGAGCGAAAGCGUGGGGAGCGAACAGGAUUAGAUACCCUGGUAGUCCACGCCGUAAACGAUGUCAAUUAGCUGUUGGGGGUUUGAAUCCUUGGUAGCGAAGCUAACGCGUGAAAUUGACCGCCUGGGGAGUACGGCCGCAAAGGUUAAA